UACGUAGGUGGCAAGCGUUGUCCGGAUUUACUGGGCGUAAAGAGCGCGCAGGCGGUCGUUCAAGUCGCGUGUGAAAGCCCCCGGCUCAACUGGGGAGGGUCACGCGAUACUGAUCGACUCGAAGGCAGGAGAGGGUAGUGGAAUUCCCGGUGUAGUGGUGAAAUGCGUAGAUAUCGGGAGGAACACCAGUGGCGAAGGCGGUCCCCUGGGCCGGAACUGACGCUGAGGCGCGAAAGCGUGGGUAGCAAACGGG
rnacentral:rRNA from 1 species